GCAAGUCGAGCGCGAACGUGGACUUCGGUCUGCAAGUAGAGCGGCGCACGGGUGAGUAACACGUGGGUAAUCUACCCUUCAGCGGGGGACAACCACUCGAAAGAGUGGCUAAUACCGCAUACGUCAUCGAGGUCUGCGGGUCUCGAUGGGAAAGCUGGGGAUCUUCGGACCUGGCACUGAAGGAGGAGCCCGCGGCGCAUCAGCUUGAUGGUGGGGUAAUGGCCUACCAUGGCAAAGACGCGUAGCUGGUCUGAGAGGAUGAUC
rnacentral:rRNA from 1 species